rnacentral:rRNA from 1 species
AAAAAAAACAGGUGCAUGGCACUCGUAUUGUUGACGUAACGCAGACGAUGCAACUGUGUGGUGAAGCCGAUGGCUUCUAUACCACCCAACCCGGCAUUCUACUCAGCGUGUUAACGGCAGACUGUCUGCGGUGAUUUUCAGCCGCAAAGACGGCUCGGCCAUUGCUGCCGUACAUGCCGGCUGGCGUGGCCUGUUGGACGGCAUUCUGGAGCAACUGGCGGCGCGUAUCAGCCGUGAUGACUCAACGGCUCAUUGGGUGGCUUCCAUCGGCCCUGCUGCCGGCCCCUGCUGUUACGAGGUUAACGAAGAGCUGGUCGCACGGUUCAAGCAACAGUUGCCACUGCCUGCGGCCUUGAUCAGCCCCCACUAUCGCCACCUGGAUCUGGCCGCCAUUGCCGAAUCCAAACU